UGAGGUUAGUCUCCAGCCUGUUUGGAGUUCAAAACAAAAAUUAUUAAAAAAAAUGUUGGAUUCAAACAACGUCCAACAUCAGAAUAACAAUACAAAGGAAAGAAAGACAACAGACCAAGGCACCUUUUUAGGAGAACCAACAGAGUUAAUACCCAGCAACAAUCUCUCUCCGCUCUGGCGCAUAUUCCUGUCGCCUCCUCUUUUAUUAAGUUUGUUGGGUUUUCCUUAAUUUACACAUGCGCUGAGCUCUAAGGAGGGGAAACAGAUAAAAAAAACAGCUGCAGCGCUAUCAGAAAACAUUAAUUGCAACAUGUCCGUCCUUUCACAGUCUUCCCACAUCAUCUCUGGCCCUGCAAAGCCUUUUCACGGAUAACUGACACAGAGCGUCCUUUUAUUCCCGUCUGGAAGCAGAUAACAUGCUGAUCUUAGGAAGACGCUAUGACAACAGUUUCCUCCCAAGAGUUUCACCUUCACCUCCCUGUGACACAAACACUUCUGCAAACAUGAUUAUAUCACCUACAUAGCUAGGUAAUUCAUAAAAGCAAAUAUGAGAUAACUUAUAAACAUUUUUCCAACAAAGAAUUAGAACGAAAAACACCAGUGUGUUUUGUUUUUAAAGUCAAUAUGCUUCUAUAGGAUUGGCAUUUCUUGCAUAAUGAAUAUUUACAGUAAAUGGAAAAUUGAAGCUUAACACAUGCACCAAUAUUUAUAGUAGCUUUUCUCCAAGGCUUCUUCAUCUUCAGCAUUUGUCUGCAGGUGGAGCGGUGAGGGUGCUUUGUCGGCCCGGCCAGAGCGUCUCUUUGCCCUGUUCCUAUAACUAUGAAGACGGGGCUUCGGUGUCAGAGCUCUCCGUCCAGUGGAGGAGUCCCAGCAGCAGGCUGCUGUGUCACUACAUCAAACACAAAGCCUUCCAGAACUGCAGCGCCGGAUACUCCAUCAGCUACCGGCCCGCCAGCAUCCGGCUGUCCAUCCUGCAGGUUCAGGCGGUGGACUUUGGCACUCACGUCUGCUCUGUCAGCAAACGCCACGAGUUCUCUGACUUCAGCGUGGAGCUGGACCAGAUGCGCGAGUUGAUAACUUCUGCACCGACCAGUAAUGGAAACCAGUCAGGCCUCGCCAGGAGACUCGCCGCUCUGUACGCCUUCCUCUGCCUGUGUGCUUGUGGAAGAGGAUUUUCAUAAAGAGCUGAGCUGAACAAACCACAGCAAGCGGCAGAGCUCUGAAUAAAAACCAUGAUCUGA